GACGAACGCUGGCGGCGCGCUUAACACAUGCAAGUCGAGCGAAGCGGCGGACGGGUGAGUAACACGUGGGUAACCUGCCUUUGACACAGGGAUAGCCUCGGGAAACCGGGAUUAAUACCAGAUAGUCAAAGAUGGACUCGCGUCCCAUUAGCUAGUUGGUGAGUAAUAGCCUACCAAGGCAACGAUGGGUAGCCGGCCUGGGAGGGGGAACGGCCACAUUGGAACUGAGAAACGGUCCAAACUCUACGGGAGGCAGCAGUGGGGAAUAUUGCACAAUGGGGGAAACCCUGAUGCAGCAACGCCGCGUGCGGGAUGACGGCCUUCGGGUUGUAAACCGCUUUCAGCCAUGACGCGGUAGUGGCAGAAGAAGCACCGGCUAACUACGUGCCAGCAGCCGCGGUAAUUC
rnacentral:rRNA from 1 species